ensembl:lincRNA
GGCUUAGGGACCAAGUUAGUUACUCACAGUUGUCAACUGGUAGCCAGACACUGCCAAACACAGCCAACAAGUUUCCCAUACAAAGGCUGAGCUCCUUGGGUGGCCCCCAUGUCCUCACGCUGACUGUAGGGCACCUCAACCGGUCCAACAGCAGCUGUACUAUUUGGUGACUGUUGCAAAACAAUACACAAGAGCCACUGCCUUAAAGGAAGGCUGGUAGAUUUGUAUUAAGUGUUUGGACUGAAAACCAUGCUCCUGGGUUUUCCUCCUUCCUGUAGGCCCUGGGUAUUUACCAGUCACAGAUCCAUUUUGUGGUCAAAGAGUGUUUUAGUUUUUUGGAAUGUCAGAAGCACUUACGUAUCAAGGGAGGAAGGAGGAUGAAGCCAGACUCAGAAGUGAAAAGUGAAUGAGGCAGGGACGAGGGAUCUUGGCCUAAAGAAUGUUUGCUUCAGUCAGAGAAAGGAGUCAUGCUGGUGAUUUUUAGUACCAGAAGUAACUAUGGAAGUUUGUUGUUUUUUUUUUACAGUGCUGGGAUUGAAUUCAGGGCCUUAUGUGUGCUAGAUAAAUACCCUACUACGUCCUUCAUGCUGGCUACAGAGAUUCUAAAGUGCUGAUGUCUUUUCUGGAAGCAGUCAGCCUCAGAGCAACCAAAUCAUUACACUGGCAACUGUACGCUCGGCAGACAUGGAGCCCAGAUCCACGCGUGGAGACUGGAGAGUACAUGCUUGCCGUGCCUGCUGCACCCUGGAUUCGCUCAUCCGUGCUCUCUGUGUUUGGGAAGAAACCAUUCUGUACUCAUCUCUCAUUUAGAAGUGGAAAAUUUGCAAAACUCUGGUCACAACUUUCCAGGAACUGGAAAGACACCUACCCAAAAAGACCAUGAUGGGGAGUGAGUCCAGAGUGUGUGAGACUUGGAGUAUAGCUCAGUGGCAGAGCAUUUGACCGCAGAAUGUGUGAGACUGAAAGAUUAAUGAAAUUUUAUUUUCAUAUUUUGCUCUUUUGAGCUAAAGUGAGCCCGUCACAAAACUCCCAGAAGGCACUCAGUCGUCUCAGAGACUGCUCGAGUUUGGACCUUAAAUUCCCCCUCAGAGGCCCAUGUGAUGAAGUCUUGGUUCCCAGCCUGGCACUACUGAGAGGCAGAGGAAACGUUAAAAGGUGGGGGCUAACCUGGAUCUUCCAUUCACUACGGGAUGCGCCACUGAAGGGGACUGUGGGAUCCCUGUCUCUUCCUCUUUCCCUAUCCCAAUCAUGAGGUAAACAGUUUUGUUCCCAUGUUCCUAUGAUGAUGUGCUGGCCCUCCAACCUUACUAGGGCCUCAAAGCAAUGGUUCUGCCUAAUCAUGGACUGAAACCCCCCACACACACUUGUAGGACAAAAUAAACCUUUUCUUUUUAUAAGUUGAUUAUCUCAGGUAUUCACUACAGUGAAGGAAAGCUAGUACUGUUCCUCUUAGAGACUGAUUUUAAUUGUGACCUUCAGGACCCAAAAGCAGUUGCCUCCAGUGAUGCCUGAGGAAGAUGCCAAGCCCACAGCCAGCCAGUGUCAAAGGCUCGCCUCUUGGAGGGCAGCCUGGCCCUGCUCGCGCAGACUCCGAAUAUUCCUGGCCCCCCAACUGGGCAAGGUCCUUGGAUGCUCAUCAGAAAUACAGCUCGCUUUUCCUUUCCAAAGUUAUUUCACACAGACCGGUCACACCUGAAAUAAUAAACUCUGAAUUACAUUUUCCAAAUCACCUGUCUCCUCGACUUCCCUCCCACCUUGUGCUGCCCACACUCACUGUAAUCUCUUGACAGAGACAUCUGUAAGCUGACCGGCCAGCGUUACCUUUCAGUGGGGUCCAGAGGACCAUUGUGAAGUUACCUAGCCUCUCAGAUCUUCAUUCUCCCAUGGAAACAGAGCUGAGUGUAGUGUCAUGAGGGUAACUUCCUACUUACCCAAAUGGGGUGCCCCUCCUUUCAUUAAGAUUUCAACUUAAAUGCGCCCCCUGUAGAGAGGCCUUUCUUGACCAUCCAAUCACUCUCUAUCACAUUUCUCUGUUGUCAUUCUUGGUGUAGCGCUGACCGUGUUUUGUAUUUGUUUGUUAUUUGUUUAUAAGCUUGUCUAUCAUCUUCUCUUACUAGAAUGAAAGUUUGCAGGAAACAUGGACUCUGUGUAUCUUGAACCCCUAGAAAAAUGCCUGGCACAUAGUAGGCUCUCAAUAAAUACCUAUUGACUCAUAUGUACAGAGGACCUAAUAUGGUGCCAGGUACUCAAUAAGUGCUCAAUAAAUGGUAAUUAUAGUUAUUACUUAUAGUCAAGCCUCUCUGAGAUGGCACAAGAUUUUGACUCAAAAAUUUUAUUGUAUUUAUAAAGGAGGUGACAGAUUUCAUGAUGUGCUAUGACUGGUGAAGCUAGUUACUCUUUCAAGGUCAGUGAAAAACCAGAAAAAUUUUGCUAUUAUUUCUAAUGUCAAAUUUAAUACAAACUGUCUGUUGCCUCUAAUUUUCAUAAAACAUGAUUACUUAGAAUUUCAUGAUGAAUUCUACCACAGUCAGACACAAACAUGCCUGCUUGAGAUCUCUCUUCAUCUCACUUUUUCCUGCCUUUCUGACCAGAGGUCACUGAAAAUUGGUUCAUUACUGCAAGCAGCCCGAAAGGAAUCUUACAGCUUUUGCUGCCCUCUCUUUUCGGGUAAAGAACAGAGUCAAUAAAUAUGAGCUAAAACCAAUAUAGCAAGAAUUAUUUUUUCCUAAAGGUGAUGUUCAAAAUUAUAUCAGAAAGAGGAGUUGCACAUAGUCUCACAAAAAGCAUAGUAGAUUUGGGCAGAGAUACUUUAGUAUAAAGUUUGUUUGUUUGGUUCUUCACUUUUCCAUUGAAGUUGAGGUGGAUAAAGGAGACAGUUUCAGGUGACUGUGGUUGAAGGCUUUGGGAUUGGUCUAGGGCUGACCUUGAGUUCCAUCACAAUGAUAGUCCAGACUCCAACACAGGAUGCUGUGUAUAA